CAGGGAGACAAAACUGAUUGUGAUGCCAUGUUUUUUUUGGCCACAAUCCUGUCACCUUAGGUCGAUCGGUACCUCAAUUUUGUAUCCAAAGGAUAUUAAAAUUCAGUUCCUAAACUUGUCUAGGUCACACCCAACAAGGGUACUCCUGGGCCAUUAGCUCAGGUGGUUAGAGCGCACCCCUGAUAAGGGUGAGGUCCCUGGUUCAAGUCCAGGAUGGCCCAUUCGGUGUUGGGGGUAUAGCUCAGUUGGUAGAGCGCCUGCUUUGCAAGCAGGAUGUCAGCGGUUCGAGUCCGCUUACCUCCACUGAUCCGCCUCCUGACAACCAAAGAACAGGAGAUUAAUUGAUGGCUGUGAUCUAGUAUUUGUUCUCUUAAUUCAAGAACCUAGCUUCUUGUCAUUCCAUUAUUGUUUGAUUUUGGUUGAUAAGACGCUGGGCUCCCUGCAAUGAAAAUUGCAGAGAACUUCAGUAGAACCUUGACAACUGCAUAGUGAGUCUGGAAAAGAAUAAAAGCAUCUCAUGGAUACAUUAUUCUUUUGAAUUAGAGCUAAGCUGUAAAUCAUGUCUUAGCUUUAUUUUGAUUGGAAAUGUUCAAUUCUUGAGCAAGAGCCGAGACUCUAGAACGUUCUUUUAGUGGUAUUUCCAUUAAGAGUUCGAUUUUUAAUUUAUUUAUUUAUGAGAAUAACUCAAUAAAUUAAAAAGAAAGGUGUUGACAACACUAUGGCGUUUUAGAGAUUUAUAU
rnacentral:tRNA from 1 species